rnacentral:rRNA from 1 species
UACGUAGGGUGCAAGCGUUGUCCGGAAUUAUUGGGCGUAAAGAGCUCGUAGGCGGUUUGUUGCGUCGGCUGUGAAAACCUGCAGCUUAACUGUGGGCCUGCGGCCGAUACGGGCAGACUUGAGUUCGGUAGGGGAGACUGGAAUUCCUGGUGUAGCGGUGAAAUGCGCAGAUAUCAGGAGGAACACCGGUGGCGAAGGCGGGUCUCUGGGCCGAUACUGACGCUGAGGAGCGAAAGCUGGGGGAGCGAACAGG